GACGAACGCUGGCGGCGUGCUUAACACAUGCAAGUCGAACGGUGACCCAGGGCUUGCCCUGGUGAUCAGUGGCGAACGGGUGAGUAACACGUGGGCAACCUGCCCCUGACUUCGGGAUAACUCCUCGAAAGAGGAGCUAAUACCGGAUACGACCACUUCGGACAUCCGAUGGUGGUGGAAAGUUUUUCGGUCAGGGAUGGGCCCGCGGCCUAUCAGCUAGUUGGUGGGGUAAUAGCCUACCAAGGCGACGACGGGUAGCCGGCCUGAGAGGGCGACCGGCCACACUGGGACUGAGACACGGCCCAGACUCCUACGGGAGGCAGCAGUGGGGAAUAUUGCGCAAUGGGCGAAAGCCUGACGCAGCGACGCCGCGUGAGGGAUGAAGGCCUUCGGGUUGUAAACCGUCUUUCAGUCAGGGACGAAGCGAAAGUGACGGUACCUGCAGAAGAAGCACCGGCUAACUACGUGCCAGCAGCCGCGGUAAU
rnacentral:rRNA from 1 species